rnacentral:rRNA from 1 species
UACGUAGGGUGCAAGCGUUAAUCGGAAUUACUGGGCGUAAAGCGUGCGCAGGCGGUUUUGUAAGUCUGUCGUGAAAUCCCCGGGCUCAACCUGGGAAUUGCGAUGGAGACUGCAAGGCUAGAAUCUGGCAGAGGGGGGGUAGAAUUCCACGUGUAGCAGUGAAAUGCGUAGAGAUGUGGAGGAACACCGAUGGCGAAGGCAGCCCCCCUGGGUCAAGAUUGACGCUCAUGCACGAAAGCGUGGGGAGCAAACAAGG